rnacentral:lncRNA from 1 species
CUGCACUUCGGUGAUGUUGUUUUCCCUGAGAGCAUUGAACCAACCACAGAAAGGAGACUUCCCACAUCAUAUUCUGGGCUGUGGACUAAUUCCACACAACUGUUCCAGCAGCCGGAAUGACCAGCAUGGGGUGAGUGCAGAGACAUGUCAGGGGUUUUCCCUGACAGACUUGACUGGCACAUGGUCAUUGGUCUUUACAGGUUCUGUGUCCUCCUUAGUGCUGGCUGUCAGAAGGCUCCCUGGAGCACAGCUGCUUUAGCCCUGCUCCUGUUGAACCCCUACAAUGACAGACUUGGAGAUGGGAGAAUGGAUCAGCCACUGAGAUGACUCUGCCAAUUCUUUCUUUCUACCAUAUAGCUUUCUGAAGAACAGAAAUGGUGCUGUUGAGAUCAAGGUCAAAUUCAACAGUGUAGGCAGGCUUUGGUGUUGCACUGGUGAGUCUGCUUUUAAAACUAGACAGUAAUCCUCUCCCUCUCUCUGUCCCCCCUCCAAAGAAUUUCUAUCUCUUCAGAGUGAUAGAAAUAUCAACUCAUAUAUAAGUAUGACUUACUAUAGAUCUAGGGCUGGUUGCCUGUACAAUUUUUAGUCCUAAUGGAUCAGGACAAAGUGAGGAUCAAAUUCCAGACAUUCAGUACUAAGGUGACAUUUAAAAUCUAAAUACAAGUUGUUUGAAAGUUACCAGCUAAACCACUGAGACAAUGUUCCUGCUGCACAGUGCAGUGAUACCAGAAAUUUGUAAGGAAAACAUUUCAAGUUCUGGAUGUACUGGAAACCUUUGGAAAAUAGUUUAAUCUUCCUCCCCAUACCAAUUAUGUUCUUCCUCAUGGGGAAGUUUAUAAGGCUGGGUUUUGCCUGAAUUGUAGCAUUUCAAUUUGUCUUAGUUUUGUUUGCUUUCUAAGGUAAAGAGAUUAUACAUCUGUGUCCCCAGUCUUAAGCUUUGUAAUUGGUGGUUUUUACUUUUUUAUUUCCUUGGUAAUGCUAGCAAGAGAUUGGAAAGGACUGUUUUCUGCAGGGCAAAUUAGACAUGAAGGGGAUCUGAGCAAUUUAGUGGUUUUUACUUUUAGGUAGUUUAAAGAAGAGCUAAUGAAUACACCCUAAUACAAAUACUAACAAAAACUCUUUGUUUCUUCCCCCUACUAAUAAUCACCUUUUGUAAUGGAAGACACAUUGCAGAGGCUGCCCCUGCCAUUAGAAAAUUGUCUUCUAAUCUUUUCUUGUUAAUGACCUUUUAAGUCAGUGAGCUAUUCCCACUAGCAGUU